rnacentral:rRNA from 1 species
GAUGAACGCUAGCGGCAGGCCUAAUACAUGCAAGUCGAGGGGUAAAUAUGUAGCAAUAUAUAUGAGACCGGCACACGGGUGCGUAACACGUAUGCAACCUACCUAUUACUGGGGCAUAGCUCAGAGAAAUCUGAAUUAAUACCCCAUAACACUGCGAAACGGCAUCGUUUUGCAGUUAAAGCUCCGGCGGUAAUAGAUGGGCAUGCGGAACAUUAGCUAGUUGGUGAGGUAAUGGCUCACCAAGGCUACGAUGUUUAGGGGGUCUGAGAGGAUGAUCCCCCACACUGGGACUGAGACACGGACCAGACUCCUACGGGAGGCAGCAGUAGGGAAUAUUGGUCAAUGGACGCAAGUUUGAACCAACCAUGCCGCGUGCAGGAAGAAUGUCCUAUGGAUUGUAAACUGCUUUUUUACGGGAAGAAACCCCUGGAUGCGUCUGGGGCUGACGGUACUGUAAGAAUAAGGAUCGGCUAACUUCGUGCCAGCCGCCGCAGUAAAAC